rnacentral:lncRNA from 1 species
UAUUAAGGUAUAUUCUAUUUUUUUGAGUAAACCUAUUUUCUAUUUUUGAAUAAGCUUAUAUUACUUUAAAUUGUUGAACCCCUAUUUAAAGUGUACCUUUAAACUAUGUUUCUAUUAAGAUCACCUCUCUGGUAUAUGCUACUGGUGAAACAAAGAGAUGGAAACAAAAGGACCCCUAUUCUAUAGGCCUUGUUUAUGUCUUAAACCCAGACCACUUCCUUUAUUCGUAGAGUACAUAAAUCAUGAAUGACCAGUGGAUACACUUACUGGUACCCCUUUGUCUUGGGGAUAGGGAAUAGUGGGGUUGUUUGCCUGGUUUGGAAGAAAGAUUGGCUUUCUCGUUGAGAGCAAGUUUAGACUUCAAGGCAGAUAGACGUGUGAUGUAACUUCCCCCAGAAGUUACUAUGUCGCAGCUUUUUAAGACCUGCCUUGAUUUUGUUUCUUAACAGAGUUCCACCAUGGUUCCACCAUGGUUCCAGUUCCAUUUCCCUCGGGACAAGAGUUGGGACUGCUGUCGUUGUUCAGGCAACGCUCUCCGCCUGAUCGAUGUAUUUAGUGCUUAUUGACGAACGACUCGUGGUUUAUCAUUUGCGCUUUAUAUGAACAUCUAUUCUUUUCUUCUAUUCUUUGAUGUUUUUUCUAAUGUACGGUGUAGUUUACUUUGCUCCUUUUCUAUCAUUUAUUGUAUACCUGUACAACAUAUUGUAAAGCUUUGCAUGUAGCUGUUUUUGUAAGAAUUGUUUGUUUGAAAUCGAAAUGCCAGUUGUCACACUGGGAAUUUAUUAUCGGUGUACCUUUGACACUGAAUAUUAAUAAAUACCUCUUUGGAAUUAUCAUUGGCACAAAA